UCAGUGACUUUAUAAAGUGAAAGGAGGUAGGCAGAGCGUCUGAGUGAGAGGGAGAUUUGAAGAUGCGGCCCUCUGGUUUUGAAGAUGGAAGAGAGUUGUGAGUUAACCACACAGGCCAUCUCUGGAAGACAGACAAGAGGAGAAAUCAAGUUUUCCCUCAGACUUUCUAGAAGGAAUAGAGCCUGGCUGAGGCUGGAUAUUUUGCCGUGAAAGAAUGGAUACGGAAGGCAGAAACAUGGAUGCAAGGCUCAUGGUGAUGGACACAGGUGGAGAGAGAAAGGCUGGUUUCACACAGGGAAAUUUUGGGAUUUAGGAGGGCAAAGCUGGAGUAGUUGUGUGAAAAAAUGAAUAAUAGAAGAAAGCUGUAAUCCCAGCACCCAGGAGGCUGAGGUAGGAGGACCUUGAGCUCAAGGCUAACCUGAGUUACAUAAUAAGUUCAAGCCCAGCCUGGACUAUGUAGCAAGAC